rnacentral:rRNA from 1 species
GACGAACGCUGGCGGCGUGCUUAACACAUGCAAGUCGAACGGAAAGGCCCUGCUUUUGUGGGGUGCUCGAGUGGCGAACGGGUGAGUAACACGUGAGUAAACUGCCCUUGACUUUGGGAUAACUUCAGGAAACUGGGGAUAAUACAGGAUAGGAGCUCCUGCUGCAUGGUGGGGGUUGGAAAGUUGCGGCGGUUGGGGAUGGACUCGCGGCCUAUCAGCUUGUUGGUGGGGUAGUGGCUCACCAAGGCUUUGAAGGGUAGCCGGCCUGAGAGGGUGACCGGCCCCAGUGGGACUGAGAUACGGCCCAGACGCCUACGGGAGGCAGCAGUGGAGAAUAUUGCACACUGCGCGGAAGCCUGAUGCAGCAACGCCGCGUGCGGGAUGACGGCCUUCGGGUUGUAAACCGCUUUCGCCUGUGACGACGCGUGAGUGCGGGUACUGGGUAAAGAAGCACCGGUAAAUUACGU